CUGCCUUUCGUUGACUCAUUCAAGGAACUGUUUCAUAGUCUCCCCACCAUGAAAUGUGACCCUAGAAAAGUGACCGCCGCUACGGCCUCCUCCAACGGGAGCACGUCAGCUAGCGUCGGAUUCCUGCUGUCGUGGAUGUGAGAGAGAGUCUGAAAAACUCCACGCUAGCGUGGCAAGAAGAGAUAAGCUCAUUCGCCUCCUUUCCCACUCUGCUCUCUCUCCCCCUUAGCCUGACUCAUGAAGGACGAGUGGACGACGGCGGCCGUGCGCCGGUGUGACCCUCACCGCGGGAGCCGGCGAGCGUGAGCGGGGCCCGGCGCUGCUGGGAGGCGGCGCGCAGGCCCAUCCCGACGGGACCACGUCAAGCGUCCGGCCAGCAGCGACUGGACGGUGGCGCGCAGGCCGGCGCGGGCAAGGCCGAGGCACCGCGGCCGGCCGGCGGCGGCGUGCAGGCCCCGCGCGGGCGGCGGACGGCGAGCGACCGGCGAAGCUGCUACGCGGCGGCGCACGUGCCCGCACGUGCAAGGGAACGGUGAUGUGGCCACGGCUCGCCGGAUCCGCCGAGAAGGAGACGACGGUGACGGAGUGCUAUAAGUUAAAUCUCUCGUUGACAUGGAACUGCCACGUAGGCCUUUGAGCUAUCUGAGGAGGCCUAGGCCAUGUUUAGCCCCUCCAAACUCCCAACUUUGACACUAUGUAAAAAGAAGAUUCACCGUCAUAUCAAACUUGCGGUAUAUGCAUGGAGUAGUAAAUGUAGACGAAAUCAAAAACUAAUUGCACAGUUUUGUUGUACUUUGCGAGACGAAUCUUUUAAGCCUAAUUAGUCAAUGUUUGAACAAUAAUUUACAAAUACAAAUGAAAUACUACAGUUGCGCAUUUGGCAGAAUGACAAUUUUGCCACUUCCAAAUUGGGAACUAAACA
rnacentral:lncRNA from 1 species